AUGCAAUCGGGAGGGGCGAGGAGCUCCGAGCCCCGGCAAAAAUGCCCCACCCAUGCCAAACUAGGACAGAGCAAAACGCUGUUCCCCAGAAAGGCACUAAACUUCACAAUUUUCACUUUCGCGGCAGCCGCAAACAGCUGCCAGGCAGCGCCAGCCCCAGGUUGGCUGGGAGGGGACGCCGAGCUGACUGGAGGCGGCGGGGCAGGGGCGCUGCUUUCCAAAGGCGGUGGAGUGGGCUCCGCCAGCAGCGGGGCGUGUGGCUGGGGGUCUGCUCCAGCAUCACAGCUUGCACUGGGAACAGGCUCUGGGCCGGCGCGAGGGCCUGGAGGCGCCUCUGUUGCUGCCGGAAGUGUGGCCACCGGCUCCAAGACCGGCUCUGGUGGGGCCGCCAGCUCCGAGACCGGCCCUGACGCGGGCCCUGGCUGCACGUCCAGAGUGGGAGGAGGUGGCAGCGGCGUCUCCUCAGCGGGUGUUUCUCUCAGCUCUGGCUGGGGCAGAGGAGGGAGCAGCACGGCUGCGGGCGGGCAGACCGGCAAGGGAGGCGUUGUCUCCGGCUCCGCUGGGGCUGGGAGCGGCUCCAUCUCCUCCGAGGGGAAAACGGGGGGCCCACGCUCUGUGAGAGGAAGUUUCCCUCGCAAGGAGGCAGAAGAACCUUUGAACGCCAGACAAAAGAUACAAAUUUUCUGUUACCCUACCCUGCCGUGAAGAAGAAAAGUCUCACCAAGACAGACUGCACUAGCAUUGACUGCUGACAAUAUGUAACUGUUUUGUUCUUCUGGAGCUGAUUUUCCUCCCUUCUCACGCAACUUGAAGCUUUUCAGCACUGCAGCACACUGAUGAACAUGUUUGCAUCUACAAAACAGUUUCUCUGCAUCUACUGGCACUGUGCAUGGAUUUGAUUUUGUUGGCCACAUAAUAUUUUUUAAAAUAUGUUCUCAAGCUGAGGAUACGGUACAAAGUCUCCCGCUUCUAGGAAAAUUUCUGGCAUAGUGGAGAUGCAAAAUUUGCUAACUCUCCCUACCUCUAAAUCUUCCAUCUUGCAAAACUACUCAAAUUAGCAAAGCUUCAGGAGGGAGAUGCAUUCUGUCCUGACUUAUAUUUAGGAGGGGAGGCUGCACACUAAUACAGGGUGUUUUUCUGGGAUUUUUAUUCAUCUCUAUGCUGUGGAUUUGAAGUCAAAAUUCUUUUCAUCCUUGGGUUUGGGGGUCUUUCUUCUAUGGCUGGCUCCACUUUGUGCUUCCUGAUAGUUUCAAAGCUGAGCAUGCUUCACAUUAGCCUGGUUCUGUGGGUGUAAACAAAGGAAUUGUUUCCUGACGCUAGGUUCAGAACUGGCUGCAUGCCUGCUGCAUCUCCCUGCAGGGAGAGGAGGGAUAAAGAGGGGUCGAGGAGAGGAGGCAGCUGGGGAGUAUGGUCAUGGUGUCCUGCUGGGCUGCCAGAGCCACCUGGAAGCAGAAGCUGGUGCUCUGGGUUCUGUGUGUGCCUCCUCAAGCUCGGCUGUCGUUUUGAGCAUGUGCUGCAUGGUUGUGGCAGGAAGCUGCUCUGAACAAAUGGCUGUGGGUGUUCUGGUUUGCUCAUUGACACGAUAAUAACUUGCUCUCCUUGUAUUAGGGGAAAAAGCCCUGAAAAUGCAGCUUUCUGGAAAUAUUUAUGCUUAUUUAUGUUAGUGUGUCAGAGUCGAUUUAAGGAGGCAAAACAAAAAUAGAAGUUCAACCUACUCUCUGGCUGUCUUGCUCACCAGUCACAUGGAGCUUAACAAUAGUCAGAUUCAGUGUGUGCCUGGUCUGGGAAAGCACCAACAGGAAAUAAGAAUGUAAUAUGAAGUAUGACAUCACCCCAUCAAGAGAACCAGCACCCCUGAUUUACUUCUCCAGUUCAAAGACAGAUAUUUACAUAUCUAAAUUGAAGCUGUGUGCCAAGAUAAGAAUUAAAUCUCUGCUACUUAACACCCUAUCUAAAACAUUAUCCACUAUUUUUUUUAGAAAAUAAAUACAUUGGCUUUGUUUUGACCUUUGUGUGA
rnacentral:lncRNA from 1 species